CGACGGCGAGGACGAGCGGUGGCCAUGGGCGAGGCCGGGAUCCGGUACUUCGUUGCUGAGGGCCGCCGGCGGGGGACUGGUUGAUUGCGUGGUGGUCGGGGGCGGGAUCGGCGGGCUCUGCAUCGCCGCGCGGAGCCCGUUCUUCGGGACCGCGUUCGCGGAGAGCGAGAGCGGGGCGAGGCUCGAAUCGGCGUGAGUUCUUUCUUGGGUGUUCUUCCUUUUUUUUUUUUCUGGGGAAAAGGAAGAAAAUGGAGAGGAGCACGCCGGUGAGGAAGCCUCACACUUCGACUUCAGAUCUGCUCGCGUGGUCGGAGACUCCGCCUCCCCACGAUUCGGUCGCGCCCGGUUCGGCUUCCUCUCGCUCCAAUGCUCGCUCUCACCAGCCUUCGGAUGGGAUCAGCAAGGUGGUGUUUGGAGGUCCAAGUGACUGCAGAGAAAUCUGAGAAUUUGAACAAAAGAAUAGUGCUUUUGUAAUCUUCUAGGAAGUCUUGUUCUGCCUACAAGUUGAAAGAAAUCACCGGUAGUGGGAUUUUUGCUGCCAAUGGGGAAGAUGAUUUAUUGGAGCCUGGAAGUGCCAACCCUGCUUCAAAUAACAAAACAGGAUUAAAGAUGUACCAGGUCCUCCACAAUAUUGCGGUCGCUGAAUACUUUCGUGAUGGCUGUUCAGAUCCAAGAAGAUUGCUUGAAGUACUUAAUAACGUCAAUGUGUGGCAGUCCUUCAAACACACUCUCUUCAGAAUAUGCGAUCUACUCUAAGCUAUUGAGUUUUCAAUCGGUCUUGAUAUGUUGUGUUGAACACAGUGGGAGUAGGCGAGAGGGAAACACUGAUAGUUGCUUCUAAAUUAUCAUCUAGACAUCAAUGAAGGAGGUGAAUUACUUUGAACUUUGUCAUUUGCGUGGCAAAUGUUGAUGAAUGUAUUUUAUUUAUAUAUCAUUAUAAUAUUUUGAUGUUA